rnacentral:rRNA from 1 species
UGGGGAAUAUUGCACAAUGGGGGAAACCCUGAUGCAGCGACGCCGCGUGAGCGAAGAAGGCUUUCGAGUCGUAAAGCUCUGUCCUAUGAGAAGAUAAUGACGGUAUCAUAGGAGGAAGCCCUGGCUAAAUACGUGCCAGCAGCCGCGGUAAUACGUAUGGGGCGAGCGUUGUCCGGAAUUAUUGGGCGUAAAGGGUACGUAGGCGGUUUUUUAAGUCAGGUGUCAAAGCGUGGAGCUUAACUCCAUUAAGCACUUGAAACUGAAAGACUUGAGUGAAGGAGAGGAAAGUGGAAUUCCUAGUGUAGCGGUGAAAUGCGUAGAUAUUAGGAGGAAUACCGGUGGCGAAGGCGACUUUCUGGACUUUUACUGACGCUGAGGCUCGAAAGCGUGGGGAGCGAACAGG